rnacentral:rRNA from 1 species
AUUGAACGCUGGCGGCAGGCCUAACACAUGCAAGUCGAGCGAGCGGCGGACGGGUGAGUAAUGUCUGGGAAACUGCCUGAUGGAGGGGGAUAACUACUGGAAACGGUAGCUAAUACCGCAUACCAUCAGAUGUGCCCAGAUGGGAUUUGCUAGUAGGUGGGGUAACGGCUCACCUAGGCGACGAUCCCUAUCUGUUCUGAGAGGAUGACCAGCCACACUGGAAUGUGGACACGGUCCAGACUCCUACGCGAGGCAGCAGUGGGGAAUAUUGCACAAUGGGCGCAAGCCUGAUGCAGCCAUGCCGCGUGUGUGAAGAAGGCCUGCGGGUUUUAAAGCACUUUCAGCGGGGAGGCGUUACCCGCAGAAGAAGCACCGGCUAACUCCGUGCCAGCCGCCGCGGUAAUAC